UGGGGAAUCUUGCGCAAUGGGCGAAAGCCUGACGCAGCCAUGCCGCGUGAAUGAUGAAGGUCUUAGGAUUGUAAAAUUCUUUCACCGGGGACGAUAAUGACGGUACCCGGAGAAGAAGCCCCGGCUAACUUCGUGCCAGCAGCCGCGGUAAUACGAAGGGGGCUAGCGUUGCUCGGAAUUACUGGGCGUAAAGGGAGCGUAGGCGGACUGUUAAGUUAGAGGUGAAAGCCCAGGGCUCAACCUUGGAAUUGCCUUUGAUACUGGCAGUCUUGAGUACGGAAGAGGUAUGUGGAACUCCGAGUGUAGAGGUGAAAUUCGUAGAUAUUCGGAAGAACACCAGUGGCGAAGGCGACAUACUGGUCCGUUACUGACGCUGAGGCUCGAAAUCGUGGGGAGCAAACA
rnacentral:rRNA from 1 species